rnacentral:rRNA from 1 species
AAACCAACCGGGAUUGCCUUAGUAACGGCGAGUGAAGCGGCAAAAGCUCAAAUUUGAAAUCUGGUACCUUCGGUGCCCGAGUUGUAAUUUGGAGAGGGCAACUUUGGGGCCGUUCCUUGUCUAUGUUCCUUGGAACAGGACGUCAUAGAGGGUGAGAAUCCCGUGUGGCGAGGAGUGCGGUUCUUUGUAAAGUGCCUUCGAAGAGUCGAGUUGUUUGGGAAUGCAGCUCUAAGUGGGUGGUAAAUUCCAUCUAAAGCUAAAUAUUGGCGAGAGACCGAUAGCGAACAAGUACAGUGAUGGAAAGAUGAAAAGGACUUUGAAAAGAGAGUGAAAAAGUACGUGAAAUUGUUGAAAGGGAAGGGCAUUUGAUCAGACAUGGUGUUUUGUGCCCUCUGCUCCUUGUGGGUAGGGGAAUCUCGCAUUUCACUGGGCCAGCAUCAGUUUUGGUGGCAGGAUAAAUCCAUAGGAAUGUAGCUUGCCUCGGUAAGUAUUAUAGCCUGUGGGAAUACUGCCAGCUGGGACUGAGGACUGCGACGUAAGUCAAGGAUGCUGGCAUAAUGGUUAUAUGCCGC